UAAUGUUAUAUCUCUUUUAGAAUUUGUCUAGCAGCUUUUCCAGUUUUCACUGAGGUAAAAA
ensembl:snRNA U7 U7 small nuclear RNA